rnacentral:rRNA from 1 species
AAUAUUGGACAAUGGGGGCAACCCUGAUCCAGCCAUGCCGCGUGUGUGAAGAAGGACUUCGGAUUGUAAAGCACGUUAAGUUGGGAGGAAGGGCUUGAGGCUAAUACCCUGAAGUUCUCACGCUACCAACUGAAUAAGCACAGGCUAACUCCGUGCCAGCAGCGGCGCUAAUACGAAGGGUGCAAGCGUUAAUCGGAAUUACUGGGCGUAAAGCGCGCGUAGGUGGUUUGUUAAGUUGGAAGUGAAAGCCCCGGGCUCAACCUGGGAACUGCUUUAAAAACUGGCAAGCUAGAGUAUGGCAGAGGGUGGUGGAAUUUCCUGUGUAGCGGUGAAAUGCGUAGAUAUAGGAAGGAACACCAGUGGCGAAGGCGACCACCUGGGCUAAUACUGACACUGAGGUGCGAAAGCGUGGGGAGCAAAC